rnacentral:rRNA from 1 species
AUUGAACGCUGGCGGCAUGCCUUACACAUGCAAGUCGAACGGUAACAGGUCUUCGGAUGCUGACGAGUGGCGAACGGGUGAGUAAUACAUCGGAACGUGCCCGAGAGUGGGGGAUAACGAAGCGAAAGCUUUGCUAAUACCGCAUACGAUCUCAGGAUGAAAGCAGGGGACCGCAAGGCCUUGCGCUCACGGAGCGGCCGAUGGCAGAUUAGGUAGUUGGUGGGAUAAAAGCUUACCAAGCCGACGAUCUGUAGCUGGUCUGAGAGGACGACCAGCCACACUGGGACUGAGACACGGCCCAGACUCCUACGGGAGGCAGCAGUGGGGAAUUUUGGACAAUGGGCGAAAGCCUGAUCCAGCCAUGCCGCGUGCAGGAUGAAGGCCUUCGGGUUGUAAACUGCUUUUGUACGGAACGAAAAGACUCUGGUUAAUACCUGGGGUCCAUGACGGUACCGUAAGAAUAAGCACCGGCUAACUACGUGCAGCCGCCGCAGUAAAAC